GAACACCAUUUUCAUCUUGCAGAUUCCUUGUUGAAGAUUGAAGAGCGGAAGAACACGAUUUCCUCACAGAUUCCUUGUUGAAGAGUUGUUCCAUCAGAUUUCUUGUUGAAAAUUGAACAAAAUGCUUCACAGAUGAACUUGCCUCACGUCUUAAAGAUUUAGGGUUGUUGGAAUAGAGUUUAUCAGGUAAGAAAUUCUAUCUUUAAAAGUCAAAAUUCUAGCUUUAGGGUUCUGAUAUUCUUGUGCAUCUUUGAAAUUUUAAACUUUAACUUAGGGUUUUGAUAUUCUUGUGUUGUUGAUACGAAUUUUGUUGAUUUUUAGGACUCUAGCUCAUAGUUGUAUUACGUAUAAAUAGGCUGAUUAUCUUUGACAAUAAUUUUUUUAUUCUCUUGAAUGUUGAAUGUACCAGCUGAAGUUCUCUGAAGAACUGAGCUGAAGCUAAGUCGUCUUUCUCUGAAAACUAAAAAGCUGAAGCUGGCGAUAACUACGAUUCUCGUCUCCCUAAUACAGAUUUCGUCAAGAGUAAGUAGCUACUCUACUAAUAAUCUAG
rnacentral:lncRNA from 1 species